rnacentral:lncRNA from 1 species
CCUGAAUUUGUCCUGAACUUUCUGGAUGGAUGUUUUAGUGUCUUUUAAAAGCCAUCAGCAACAUCCUAUUGUAGGCUGAGGGUCACUGCCAUGCUGUCCAGACAGAAUAUCAGGCUGCUCUUGUCAGUGUUUGUGCUUUGCUGAUUUUGAUUGAACUUCUCUCGGGAAAUCAUCUUGUCUUUCUUGGCUUUGCACUGGGUGAAAUCUCUGUGUGUGAGUGUGUGUGUGUGUGUGUGUGUGUGUGUGUAUAUAUGUGUGUGUGUGAAUGAAGGGUAGAGAAGGAGGCAAGCUGGAACUUGCCACAUGCAUUGCCCCUUUGCCAUUUUCCACUGUCACACAGACACACACACACACACACACACACACACACACAUGUAUAUAUAUAUAUAUAUGCACAAAAUAUGUAUAACUGCAUUCAUUUAAAUAAAGAUCAAAUACAGUCAUGCCAUUUGCUCUCUGUUGGCCUUUUUUAAAUGUCCUUGAUUGUCAUUAGCCAACCCCCCCCAGAGAGGGGAUGCUAAUGUCUGCUGAAAGGGUCAUUUUAGUGUACCACUGCCAGCAUUCUCCAUAUCACCACCAGCCUGCCGACAGCCAAUCACAGCCAAGGACUCAGUGAUGCAGGCCCCCUCUCUGUGGAGGGAUUCCGAAGGAACUGCCGCGUGACGACGCACUGUUUAACAGCCUAGAGUCUCUCCCCUCCUCACUCGCGCGCUCCAUCUCUCCUCCCCCUCCGCCUCCUCCCUCAUCCAUACCUCUUUCUCACUCACCCAGCGCUCGGUCAUCCUCUGUCUCGCGCGUGUGUGCGGGGAUCAUACGGCGCCAUGCCCACAUCUCCCUCCUGUCCAGCCAGAGAGUAGAAGACAGCAGCAGCAGCAGAAACAGGGCAACAGCCAACACUUUGCUCUCUCUCUCUCUCUCUCUCUCUCUCUCUUUCCCUCUCUCCCGGCACGACUCCACCUCUCGCUCUUCAAGACUCUCCUUCCUUCCUCCAGAUGAUCCCUGCUUCCGAUCUGCUCAGCCGAAUCGGAAGCUAACGAAAGCACAAGAGAUUUCAGGCAUGACGCGGCGGGUGAACGGAGAAGAGGACGAAGAGUGACGAGGAAUGACGAGGAAUGAAGGACGCUUUCACCUGACAUCACGGAACAGGGGUUUUAAUGGUGAAUCACAGGACAGGGGAGACAUCCGAGACGUAGACACUGGUGAACACGGAACAUAACGUCAAAGACCUGACAGCGGACAGAAAUGAACAGGGCAGCUUUAUACAAUUAACACAGGUGAAAACGAUUAGGGAACAUUACACAUGACAACAAUGAAACUCCGGUCCGGAACUCGGACCGGAGUAACCCCCAUUUCGGACCGGAUCAUGACAGCUGUACCUACAGAAUAUCUGAAUUGUUGUCACUAAACCAGUUCUGCAGUGAUGCAGAUCAUCUUAUUAUCUGCAUCACUAAGUACUGUGAUUUUUAAAAUAAACUAGUAAUGAAAGUACA